rnacentral:misc_RNA from 1 species
GAUGAAGAACGUAGCGAAAUGCGAUACGUAAUGUGAAUUGCAGAUUUCAGUGAAUCAUCGAAUCUUUGAACGCACAUUGCGCCCGCCAGUAUUCUGGCGGGCAUGCCUGUUCGAGCGUCAUUUCAACCAUCAAGCCUUCGCUUGUGUUGGGGCCCCGCGGCUGCCGCGGCCCCCUAAAUCCAGUGGCGGGCUCGUCGUCGUACCGAGCGCAGUAGACAUCCUCGCUCCGGGAACCCGACGGGUGCCGGCCGUGAAACCCCCCCCAUCAAGGUUGACCUCGGAUCAGGUAGGAAUACCCGCUGAACUUAAGCAUAUCAAUAAGCGGAGGA